UACGGAGGGUGCGAGCGUUGUCCGGAAUCAUUGGGCGUAAAGGGCGCGUAGGUGGCCACUUCAAGCGUGCGGUGAAAGUCGGGGGCUCAACCCCUGAUCGGCCGUGCGAACUGGGGGGCUGGAGCACUGUAGAGGCAGGCGGAAUUCCGGGUGUAGCGGUGGAAUGCGUAGAGAUCCGGAAGAACACCGGUGGCGAAGGCGGCCCGCUGGGCAACUGCUGACACUGAUGCGCGACAGCGUGGGGAGCAAACAGG
rnacentral:rRNA from 1 species